UGCAGCGACGCCGCGUGAGGGAGACGGCCUCCGGGUUGUAAACCUCUUUCAGUAGGGACGAAGCGCAAGUGACGGUACCUAUAGAAGAAGGACCGGCCAACUACGUGCCAGCAGCCGCGGUAAUACGUAGGGUCCGAGCGUUGUCCGGAAUUACUGGGCGUAAAGAGCUCGUAGGUGGUUUGUCGCGUUGUUCGUGAAAACUCACAGCUCAACUGUGGGCGUGCGGGCGAUACGGGCAGACUAGAGUACUGCAGGGGAGACUGGAAUUCCUGGUGUAGCGGUGGAAUGCGCAGAUAUCAGGAGGAACACCGGUGGCGAAGGCGGGUCUCUGGGCAGUAACUGACGCUGAGGAGCGAAAGCGUGGGGAGCGAACAGGAUUAGAUACCCUGGUAGUCCACGCCGUAAACGGUGGGUACUAGGUGUGGGUUUCCUUCCUUGGGAUCCGUGCCGUAGCUAACGCAUUAAGUACCCCGCCUGGGGAGUACGGCCGCAAGGCUAAAACUCAAAGAAAUUGACGGGGGCCCGCACAAGCGGCGGAGCAUGUGGAUUAAUUCGAUGCAACGCGAAGAACCUUACCUGGGUUUGACAUGCACAGGACGUGCCUAGAGAUAGGUAUUCCCUUGUGGU
rnacentral:rRNA from 1 species